rnacentral:tRNA from 1 species
GCUCCGGUAGCCAAAUUGGAAUAAGGCACCACACUUUCACUGUGGAGAUUGCGGGUUCAAGCCCCGUCCGGAGUA